UCUCCGUAGGUGAACCUGCGGAGGGAUCAUUACUGAGUGAGGGUUUAACCGCCCGACCUCCAACCCUUUGUGAAAUCGACCGCGUUGCCUCGGGGGGAGGAGCCUCUGGCUCGCCUCCCGCUGGCCCCCUCAAACUCUGCUUCUUCCAGCGUCUGAGUAUACUCGAGAAAUCGAAACAAAACUUUCAACAACGGAUCUCUUGGUUCUGGCAUCGAUGAAGAACGCAGC
rnacentral:misc_RNA from 1 species